GAUUAAGUUAUUAAGGGCGCACGGUGGAUGCCUUGGCACUAGAAGCCGAUGAAGGACGUUACUAACGACGAUAUGCUUUGGGGAGCUGUAAGUAAGCUUUGAUCCAGAGAUUUCCGAAUGGGGAAACCCAGCAUGAGUUAUGUCAUGUUAUCGAUAUGUGAAUACAUAGCAUAUCAGAAGGCACACCCGGAGAACUGAAACAUCUUAGUACCCGGAGGAAGAGAAAGAAAAUUCGAUUCCCUUAGUAGCGGCGAGCGAAACGGGAAGAGCCCAAACCAACAAGCUUGCUUGUUGGGGUUGUAGGACACUCUAUACGGAGUUACAAAGGACGACAUUAGACGAAUCAUCUGGAAAGAUGAAUCAAAGAAGGUAAUAAUCCUGUAGUCGAAAAUGUUGUCUCUCUUGAGUGGAUCCUGAGUACGACGGAGCACGUGAAAUUCCGUCGGAAUCUGGGAGGACCAUCUCCUAAGGCUAAAUACUCUCUAGUGACCGAUAGUGAACCAGUACCGUGAGGGAAAGGUGAAAAGCACCCCGGAAGGGGAGUGAAAUAGAACCUGAAACCGUGUGCUUACAAGUAGUCAGAGCCCGUUAAUGGGUGAUGGCGUGCCUUUUGUAGAAUGAACCGGCGAGUUACGAUUUGAUGCAAGGUUAAGCAGUAAAUGUGGAGCCGUAGCGAAAGCGAGUCUGAAUAGGGCGUUUAGUAUUUGGUCGUAGACCCGAAACCAGGUGAUCUACCCUUGGUCAGGUUGAAGUUCAGGUAACACUGAAUGGAGGACCGAACCGACUUACGUUGAAAAGUGAGCGGAUGAACUGAGGGUAGCGGAGAAAUUCCAAUCGAACCUGGAGAUAGCUGGUUCUCUCCGAAAUAGCUUUAGGGCUAGCCUCAAGUGAUGAUUAUUGGAGGUAGAGCACUGUUUGGACGAGGGGCCCCUCUCGGGUUACCGAAUUCAGACAAACUCCGAAUGCCAAUUAAUUUAACUUGGGAGUCAGAACAUGGGUGAUAAGGUCCGUGUUCGAAAGGGAAACAGCCCAGACCACCAGCUAAGGUCCCAAAAUAUAUGUUAAGUGGAAAAGGAUGUGGCGUUGCCCAGACAACUAGGAUGUUGGCUUAGAAGCAGCCAUCAUUUAAAGAGUGCGUAAUAGCUCACUAGUCGAGUGACACUGCGCCGAAAAUGUACCGGGGCUAAACAUAUUACCGAAGCUGUGGAUUGUCCUUUGGACAAUGGUAGGAGAGCGUUCUAAGGGCGUUGAAGCAUGAUCGUAAGGACAUGUGGAGCGCUUAGAAGUGAGAAUGCCGGUGUGAGUAGCGAAAGACGGGUGAGAAUCCCGUCCACCGAUUGACUAAGGUUUCCAGAGGAAGGCUCGUCCGCUCUGGGUUAGUCGGGUCCUAAGCUGAGGCCGACAGGCGUAGGCGAUGGAUAACAGGUUGAUAUUCCUGUACCACCUAUAAUCGUUUUAAUCGAUGGGGGGACGCAGUAGGAUAGGCGAAGCGUGCGAUUGGAUUGCACGUCUAAGCAGUAAGGCUGAGUAUUAGGCAAAUCCGGUACUCGUUAAGGCUGAGCUGUGAUGGGGAGAAGACAUUGUGUCUUCGAGUCGUUGAUUUCACACUGCCGAGAAAAGCCUCUAGAUAGAAAAUAGGUGCCCGUACCGCAAACCGACACAGGUAGUCAAGAUGAGAAUUCUAAGGUGAGCGAGCGAACUCUCGUUAAGGAACUCGGCAAAAUGACCCCGUAACUUCGGGAGAAGGGGUGCUCUUUAGGGUUAACGCCCAGAAGAGCCGCAGUGAAUAGGCCCAAGCGACUGUUUAUCAAAAACACAGGUCUCUGCUAAACCGUAAGGUGAUGUAUAGGGGCUGACGCCUGCCCGGUGCUGGAAGGUUAAGAGGAGUGGUUAGCUUCUGCGAAGCUACGAAUCGAAGCCCCAGUAAACGGCGGCCGUAACUAUAACGGUCCUAAGGUAGCGAAAUUCCUUGUCGGGUAAGUUCCGACCCGCACGAAAGGCGUAACGAUUUGGGCACUGUCUCAACGAGAGACUCGGUGAAAUCAUAGUACCUGUGAAGAUGCAGGUUACCCGCGACAGGACGGAAAGACCCCGUGGAGCUUUACUGUAGCCUGAUAUUGAAAUUCGGCACAGCUUGUACAGGAUAGGUAGGAGCCUUUGAAACGUGAGCGCUAGCUUACGUGGAGGCGCUGGUGGGAUACUACCCUAGCUGUGUUGGCUUUCUAACCCGCACCACUUAUCGUGGUGGGAGACAGUGUCAGGCGGGCAGUUUGACUGGGGCGGUCGCCUCCUAAAAGGUAACGGAGGCGCUCAAAGGUUCCCUCAGAAUGGUUGGAAAUCAUUCAUAGAGUGUAAAGGCAU
rnacentral:rRNA from 1 species